GACGAACGCUGGCGGCGUGCUUAACACAUGCAAGUCGAACGGAAAGGCCCUGCGUUUGUGGGGUGCUCGAGUGGCGAACGGGUGAGUAACACGUGAGUAACCUGCCCUUGACUUUGGGAUAACUUCAGGAAACUGGGGCUAAUACCGGAUAGGAGCUCCUGCUGCAUGGAGGGGGUUGGAAAGUUUCGGCGGUUGGGGAUGGACUCGCGGCUUAUCAGCUUGUUGGUGGGGUAGUGGCUUACCAAGGCUUUGACGGGUAGCCGGCCUGAGAGGGUGGCCGGCCACAUUGGGACUGAGAUACGGCCCAGACUCCUACGGGAGACAGCAGUGGGAAAUAUUGCACAGUGGGCGGAAGCCUGAUGCAGCAACGCCGGGUGCGGAAUGACGGCCUUCGGGUUGUAAACCGCAUUCGCCUGUGACGAAGCGUGAGUGACGGUAAUGGGUAAAGAAGCACCGGCUAACUACGUG
rnacentral:rRNA from 1 species